rnacentral:rRNA from 1 species
AACGAACGCUGGCGGCAUGCCUAACACAUGCAAGUCGAACGGGAUCCUAGCUUGCUAGGUGAGAGUGGCGGACGGGUGAGUAACACGUGGGAAUCUGCCUUUUUGGUUCGGGAUAACCGCGGGAAACUGCGGCUAAUACCGAAUGCCCUCGAGAGAGGAAAGAUUUAUCGCCAGAAGAGGAGCCCGCGUCCGAUUAGGUAGUUGGUGGGGUAAAGGCCUACCAAGCCGACGAUCGGUAGCUGGUCUGAGAGGAUGAUCAGCCACACUGGGACUGAGAUACGGCCCAGACUCCUACGGGAGGCAGCAGUGGGAAUAUUGGACAAGUGGGGCAACCCUGAUCCAGCAAUGCCGCGUGAGUGAUGAA